rnacentral:rRNA from 1 species
UACGUAGGGGGCAAGCGUUGUCCGGAUUUAUUGGGCGUAAAGAGCGUGUAGGCGGCCAUGUAGGUCCGAUGUGAAACUGGGGGCUCAACCUCCAGCUGUCGUCGGAAACCAUGUGGCUAGAGUCCGGAAGAGGAGAGUGGAAUUCCUGGUGUAGCGGUGAAAUGCGCAGAUAUCAGGAAGAACACCUAUGGCGAAGGCGCUUC